CUUUCCCGAUGAAAAUGCUGCUCCUCCUACAAAAAUUGAGACUGCAAUGCUAGAGGGAAUCGGCAAAAUGAAAAAUCUGUGUACACUGAAAAUCGAGAACUUCUAUUUUGAGUACCAAGAGUUGUUUAAACUUUGCAAGCAGUUGUCCGCUUUGCGAGUUUUGGAUGUAAAAAUCAAUCCCAUAGAAAACUUUCCUGAAAUAAUUGCGCGAUCAUCAUACAAGCCUUUCCAAAACUUGAAAACUUUCUACUUUUCUUCGGCAUGGGUCAAUUUCGAACGGAGUGGACCGUUUCAGGAAACGAUGACCAACAAUUUUGCCGCCUCCUUGCCAAAACUAGAGUAUAUUGGAGAUCCCGAAUCCUUCACCGACAUGUCAACUGCUUGUUUCAAGUACAACCUGAACGAGCCAUCCCAUCUUCGCUGCAUGUCCCUUAAAAUGAAUAUGGAAACACCUUUUGCGGAUGACACUUUCGAAUCCUUCCCUAAUGUUAGAGAUAUCUGCUUGAGAUGGGACACAGUCGCCAUUUCCCGACCAAUGAACAAAGUCAACAUGACCUCCCUGUUGAAAAUUCACAAGUUGAAUCGCGUGUCAUUGACAAAUCUGAGCUCCUCUGCUUAUCUAGAGUUCUUUUUGACAAACUUUGGGAAGGAACUAAAACAACUCGUGGUGUCGCCGUGUGCACUAAAAGAUGUGAGAUUCGCGAUGAUCGGCCAUUGCUGCCCGAAACUUGAUGAGCUCCAAAUUCAUUGUUUGUUCAAACUGGUUGACGACACGGCUUGGUGUUUCCGCUCUUUUUCCAAUCUAAAAGUUCUGGAUUUGGAAAUGAUGGGCAGCAUCAAUGACGAGCCAAUUGGUCUACCUGAUAUUCUUUCCGCGCCAAAACUCGAGAAAGUGAGGCUGAUUGACAUAACUGUGAGUGAGGAUGAGUUUAAUGAAGCAACUGAGUUGCUAGUGCAUGGAGAGAUUUUGUGCAAAAUCCUGCACUUAAAUCUGCGUGUCCAAGUGAAAGACAACUCAGGUAAAAUUAUAGAUAUCAUGCUCUCUGCGGGCAAAAAUUUUAUCGAUGCAUUUCCUAUUUUUCGACCUGGUGCUUUCAUCCAAGUUGAUCCGAUUGACUUCAUCGGUAGACAGGAAUUUUACAAUACAGUAAACGUGACUGUUUAAAAUUUUACUUUUAUUUCAAAUAAAAAUCCAUGCCUUUUAAUUUAUUAAAAUUUCGAGA